rnacentral:rRNA from 1 species
UACGAAGGGGGCUAGCGUUGCUCGGAAUUACUGGGCAUAAAGCGCGCGUAGGUGGUCGUGUAAGCGGGGGAUGAAAGCCCAUGGCUCACCCAUGGAAUUGUUCCCCGGACUGCACGGCUCGAGGAAGGAAGGGGAGAAUGGAAUUCCCGGUGUAGCGGUGAAAUGCGUAGAUAUCGGGAGGAACGCCGGUGGCGAAAGCGAUUCUCUGGUCCUUUCCUGACACUGAGGCGCGAAAGCUAGGGGAGCAAAUAGG